rnacentral:rRNA from 1 species
AAACCAACCGGGAUUGCCUUAGUAACGGCGAGUGAAGCGGCAAAAGCUCAAAUUUGAAAUCUGGCGCCUUUGGUGUCCGAGUUGUAAUUUGAAGAAAGUAACUUUUGGAAUGAGCCUUGCAUAAGUUCCUUGGAAAAGGACGUCAUAGAGGGUGAGAAUCCCGUAUAUGGUGGGGUAUUCAUUUCAAUGUAAAGUGCUUUCGAAGAGUCGAGUUGUUUGGGAAUGCAGCUCUAAGUGGGUGGUAAAUUCCAUCUAAAGCUAAAUAUUGGCGAGAGACCGAUAGCGAACAAGUACAGUGAUGGAAAGAUGAAAAGAACUUUGAAAAGAGAGUGAAAAAGUACGUGAAAUUGUUGAAAGGGAAGGGCUUGAAAUCAGACUUGGUAUUCAGUGAUCAGCGAUCUCUCGGGGUUGUGCACUUGCUGUUUACUGGGCCAGCAUCGGUUUUGACGGUGGGAUAAUAGCAUUGGAAUGUGGCUCUCUUCGGGGAGUGUUUAUAGCCUUUGUUGAUAUCACCAGUUGAGACCGAGGACCGCGCAUUUUUUGCUAGGAUGCUGGCGUAAUGAUUUUAAGCCAC